rnacentral:ncRNA from 1 species
AGAUUAAAACUCAAAUGAAUUGACGGGGGCCCGCACAAGCGGUGGAGCAUGUGGUUUAAUUCGAUGCAACGCGAAGAACCUUACCUACUCUUGACAUCCAGAGAAGCCAGCGGAGACGCAGGUGUGCCUUCGGGAACUCUGAGACAGGUGCUGCAUGGCUGUCGUCAGCUCGUGUUGUGAAAUGUUGGGUUAAGUCCCGCAACGAGCGCAACCCUUAUCCUUGUUUGCCAGCGAGUAAUGUCGGGAACUCCAGGGAGACUGCCGGUGAUAAACCGGAGGAAGGUGGGGACGACGUCAAGUCAUCAUGGCCCUUACGAGUAGGGCUACACACGUGCUACAAUGGCGCAUACAGAGGGCAGCCAACUUGCGAAAGUGAGCGAAUCCCAAAAAGUGCGUCGUAGUCCGGAUUGGAGUCUGCAACUCGACUCCAUGAAGUCGGAAUCGCUAGUAAUCGUAGAUCAGAAUGCUACGGUGAAUACGUUCCCGGGCCUUGUACACACCGCCCGUCACACCAUGGGAGUGGGCUGCAAAAGAAGUGGGUAGUUUAACCUUCGGGAGGACGCUCACCACUUUGUGGUUCAUGACUGGGGUGAAGUCGUAACAAGGUAGCCCUAGGGGAACCUGGGGCUGGAUCACCUCCUUA